CUCUCAUCCCCGGAACUACAAGUAUCACUACUACACGACACCCAAUGACUACCAUCAUGGAACCUGCAACUACAAAGAAGAAGUGCUGGUGUCUCCCCCCGAACUGCACCCCCUAUAUGUACCACUUUAGUCUCUGCACUCCUCUCCCAU